rnacentral:rRNA from 1 species
UACGGGGGGGGCAAGCGUUGUUCGGAAUUACUGGGCGUAAAGGGCUCGUAGGUGGCCAACUAAGUCGGACGUGAAAUCCCUCAGCUUAACUGGGGAACUGCGUCCGAUACUGGAUGGCUUGAGUUUGGGAGAGGGAUGCGGAAUUCCAGGUGUAGCGGUGAAAUGCGUAGAUAUCUGGAGGAAUACCGGUGGCGAAGGCGGCAUCCUGGACCGAGAUUGACACUGAUGAGCGAAAGCUAGGGGAGCAAACGGG